UACAGAGGUCUCAAGCGUUGUUCGGAUUUAUUGGGCGUAAAGGGCGCGUAGGCGGCGGGGUAAGUCGGGUGUGAAAUCUCAGGGCUCAACCCUGAAACUGCACUUGAUACUGCUCUGCUUGAGGACUGGAGAGGAGACUGGAAUUCACGGUGUAGCAGUGAAAUGCGUAGAUAUCGUGAGGAAGACCGGUGGCGAAGGCGGGUCUCUGGGCAAUUCCUGACGCUGAGGCGCGAAAGCGUGGGGAGCAAACGGG
rnacentral:rRNA from 1 species